AUUGAACGCUGGCGGUAUGCUUAACACAUGCAAGUCGAACGGCAGCACGGGGAGCUUGCUCCCUGGUGGCGAGUGGCGGACGGGUGAGUAACGCGUAGGAAUCUGCCUUGUAGUGGGGGAUAACUCGAGGAAACUCGAGCUAAUACCGCAUAAUCUCUACGGAGAAAAGGAGGGGCCCGGGAAACCGGCCUUUCGCUAUAAGAGGAGCCUGCGUUGGAUUAGUUAGUUGGUAGGGUAAAGGCCUACCAAGGCAGAGAUCCAUAGCUGGUCUGAGAGGAUGAUCAGCCACACUGGGGCUGAGACACGGCCCAGACUCCUACGGGAGGCAGCAGUGGGGAAUAUUGGACAAUGGGGGAAACCCUGAUCCAGCAAUACCGCGUGUGUGAAGAAGGCCUGAGGGUUGUAAAGCACUUUCAGUAGUGAGGAACGGCUCUGCCUUAAUAAGGUAGAGAGAUGACGUUAACUACAGAAGAAGCACCGGCUAACUCUGUGCCAGCAGCCGCGGUAAUACAGAGGGUGCAAGCGUUAAUCGGAAUUACUGGGCGUAAAGGGCGCGUAGGCGGUAAAUUAAGUGGGUUGUAAAAGUCCCGGGCUUAACCUGGGAAAGUCAAUCGAUACUGAUUUACUAGAGUAUGAGAGAGGGAAGUGGAAUUUCCGGUGUAGCGGUGAAAUGCGUAGAUAUCGGAAGGAACACCAGUGGCGAAGGCGACUUCCUGGCUUAAUACUGACGCUGAGGCGCGAAAGCGUGGGUAGCGAACAGGAUUAGAUACCCUGGUAGUCCACGCUGUAAACGAUGAGGACUAAACGUUUGCUGUCGUAUGAUGGUGAGUGUUGAAGCUAACGCAUUAAGUCCUCCGCCUGGGGAGUACGGUCGCAAGAUUAAAACUCAAAGGAAUUGACGGGGGCCCGCACAAGCGGUGGAGCAUGUGGUUUAAUUCGAUGCAACGCGAAAAACCUUACCUACCCUUGACAUUUUUGGAAUUCUACUGAGAAGUGGAAGUGCCCGCGAGGGAACCAAAGGACAGGUGCUGCAUGGCUGUCGUCAGCUCGUGUCGUGAGAUGUUGGGUUAAGUCCCGUAACGAGCGCAACCCUUAUCCUUAGUUGCCAUCAAGUAAAGUUGGGAACUCUAAGGAGACUGCCGGUGAUAAGCCGGAGGAAGGUGGGGACGACGUCAAGUCAUCAUGGCCCUUAUGGGUAGGGCUACACACGUGCUACAAUGGUGAGUACAGAGGGCAGCGAAUCUGCGAAGAGGAGCGAACCCUUUAAAGCUUAUCGUAGUCCGGAUUGGAGUCUGGAACUCGACUCCAUGAAGUCGGAAUCGCUAGUAAUCGCGAAUCAGCAUGUCGCGGUGAAUACGUUCCCGGGCCUUGUACACACCGCCCGUCACACCAUGGGAGUAGGCUGUACCAGAAGUGGGUAGACUAACCUUCGGGGGGUCGCUUACCACGGUAUGGUUUAUGACUGGGGUG
rnacentral:rRNA from 1 species